GUGGAUUAGAUACCCUGGUAGUCCACGCCGUAAACGAUGAUAACUAGCUGUCCGGGUUCAUGGAAUUUGGGUGGCGCAGCUAACGCAUUAAGUUAUCCGCCUGGGGAGUACGGUCGCAAGAUUAAAACUCAAAGGAAUUGACGGGGGCCUGCACAAGCGGUGGAGCAUGUGGUUUAAUUCGAAGCAACGCGCAGAACCUUACCAGCGUUUGACAUCCCGCGCUAUCACCAGAGAUGGUGAGUUCCCUUCGGGGACGCGGUUACAGGUGCUGCACGGCCGUCGUCAACU
rnacentral:rRNA from 1 species